GACUGCGUAGCUCAGUUGGAAGAGCAUUGGGCUAGUAUUCCAAAGGUCGUAGGUUCGAAUUCUACCGUGGCCG
rnacentral:tRNA from 1 species